rnacentral:rRNA from 1 species
CGUAGCUAACGCGUUAAGUGAUCCGCCUGGGGAGUACGGCCGCAAGGCUUAAAACUCAAAGGAAUGACGGGGACCCGCACAAGCAGCGGAGCAUGUGGAUUAAUUCGACGCAACGCAAAGAACCUUACCUGGGCUUGACAUACCUCUGACCGCCAUGGAAACAUGGCUUCCCUUCGGGGCAGAGAUACAGGUGGUGCAUGGCUGUCGUCAGCUCGUGUCGUGAGAUGUUGGGUUGAGUCCCGCAACGAGCGCAACCCCCGUCUAUGUUGCCAGCAUUCAGUUGGGGACUCAUAGGAGACUGCCGGUGACAAACCGGAGGAAGGUGGGGAUGACGUCAAGUCAUCAUGCCCCUUAUGUCCGGGGCUACACACGUGCUACAUUGGCGCGUACAGAGGGUUGCGAUACCGUGAGGUGGAGCGAAUCCCUUAAAGCGCGUCUCGGUUCGGAUUGUAGGCUGAAACUCGCCUACAUGAAGGCGGAGUUGCUAGUAAUCGCGGAUCAGCAUUGCCGCGGUGAAUACGUUCCCGGGCCUUGUACACACCGCCCGUCACACCACGGGAGUGAGCAACACCCGAAGCCGGUGGCCUAACCCGCAAGGGGGGGAGCCGUCGAAGGUGGGGCUCGUGACUGGGGUGAAGUCGUAAC